AUAACCUGCCCCUUACGCCUGUCAUUCAGCCUGGCCGGUCCUUAGUGGGCUAGACCUACCUUUCUGAUGAGCUGCCUGCCCCCACCGCAAGAUGAUUGUUUGAGAGGUAAAAACUCUUGCCAAAAACAACGUUAAACUUUUAAUGGAUGUUAACAUACUUGCAUUUACAAGCAGUGAAGUUUGUCACCUUCAUGUUGUUAUUUAUGCAGCAUUAACCUUUUUCUCCAGAUCAUUGAGACUGAAAAUAUGAUGGACCGAAUUGUGACUGGCUUGUCUGAGUCUAGUGUCAAGGUGCGGUUAGCUGCCGUCAGGUAUGAGCUUUAAAUGGUCUGAAUAAAAACCUUUUGCCAUGUAUUUAACCUGUUUCCUUUCUGGUCCUUCACUGAGUAAACACAGACUACAAAUGUUCCUCAAAAAUCUGCUCAGGUGAAUUCAUAGAGUGUGUAACAUUGUCUAACAGAGAGCCCGGCCUCCAAACCCCGUGAAGUGGUCUGAUGUAGUUCACUUAACAAUGUAGAUGUGCUUGAAGUGUACAUUAGUCAUUGUAAAAUGCCAGCCAGUUUGUUUGAAAAGUAAAAGUUUUGGUUUCUUGUGAAGCUAAUUUUGAUUAUUCUUUGUAGAUGUUUGCACAGUUUAUCCAGAUCUGUGCAGCAGCUUCGAACCAGUUUCCAGGAUCAUGCUGUGUGGAAACCUUUAAUGAAGGUUUUACAAAAUGCACCAGAUGAAAUCCUAGUGGUAGCAUCUUCCAUGCUAUGUAAUCUUCUUCUUGAAUUUUCUCCAAGCAAAGAGCCAAUUUUGGAAUCAGGAGCCGUAGAGCUACUUUGUGGAUUAACUCAGAGUGAAAAUCCUGCUUUACGAGUGAAUGGAAUUUGGGCUUUAAUGAAUAUGGCAUUUCAGGCUGAACAAAAAAUAAAAGCAGAUAUUUUACGAAGCUUGAGUACUGAACAGCUAUUCCGGUUAUUAUCAGAUUCAGAUUUGAAUGUGCUGAUGAAGACAUUGGGACUUCUUAGAAAUCUCCUCUCCACUCGUCCUCAUAUAGAUAAAAUAAUGAGUACUCAUGGAAAGCAAAUUAUGCAAGCCGUCACUCUUAUUCUAGAAGGGGAACAUAACAUUGAGGUCAAAGAGCAGACACUGUGCAUCUUAGCCAACAUAGCGGAUGGGACAACAGCAAAAGAUCUUAUUAUGACCAAUGAUGAUAUCCUACAGAAAAUCAAGUAUUACAUGGGCCAUUCACAUGUUAAACUGCAGCUUGCAGCCAUGUUUUGUAUAUCAAACCUCAUAUGGAAUGAAGAGGAAGGUUCACAAGAACGCCAGGAUAAAUUACGAGACAUGGGCAUCGUAGAUAUUCUACACAAACUGAGUCAGUCACCAGAUUCAAACCUUUGUGACAAGGCAAAGAUGGCACUGCAGCAGUACCUGGCGUGAUGGGAGUGCCCCUGGGCACCUGCGAGCAUCCCACCUCCUUGUUUAAGGAAGUAAAGGAACCAGCCUCAUUUGAUUCCUUCUAUUUGCACAAGUCACCUUGGACUGCAGGGAGCUGUUUUGCAAAAGCAGUUUAGUAGGCUUAGAUCUCAAAUUCAUCUUGAGAACAUUUUUUUGAGGUAGUAAUUUCCUCAGAAGACUCUUGUGUUUUGGUUUUUUUUCCUGAGCUACUCGGACUCUUUAUUAGAACAAUCAAUCAUUUUCCUUUGGACCUACAAUUUUUUGCCUAUGCUGCAGCCACUUUGUGAGUGAGAAUGAAUAUGUCUGUGUGAACACACAGGCAUGCGUGUGUAUGUGCACGUACAUGGGCCAGAAUGAAUGGAUGUGUGUGUGUGAGGGAUACCUCAGAUUUUUCUUUUCUUAUUUUGUGUGAAAAUCUCUUUUCUACAGAUUUUCCAGGGUUUAAGCAUUGCUUGCUGUAUAAAAAACUUUACUGAAUUAUAUACAGUUUGAAUGAAAUGUUAUUUUAAAAACAAAACAAUUGUUAAGUGUUCCAUAAAGGUUAUGUUGAAUUUUGGUCAGAUGAAUAUUUGUAAGUAAAAAAUAUAUGCAUUUCUGAACCUCAACUUACAUAGAUUUUCUUUAUAUAAAAAAAAAAAAAAGAAAAAAAAAGAAAAAGUUGGCUAUAGUUGGCCUGAUUAACAGGCACUAUACAUGGUGCUGUGCAAAAUAGUAAGCUAGCAUCUUACUGCCGUCAAUAUUAGCAGGUACAGAGCCUUUUUUCAUCCUAAUUCAGUAAGUUCUCAGGCUUCCAAGUCAAAUGGAGGAGUAAAGUGAGGCAACAGAUUCACCAUAGGCUUUUUGAAGCAUCAAAGGGAAAUAUAACUACUGAUAGUGAAAGCCCAGCCAUGACCCAGAUGGCCUUACCCUUGACAGGAACUGGGGACCAAGAGCCCCCCAAUUGCCCUAAUUCCUGUCAUUGGUAUUAGCAAUAUCUGGCCAGAUUGAGAACCAGUCAUGGAAACUUGUGCUCAAACUAAAAGUAGGUCAUCACUUCCCAGAAACAGAACACCUUGUGCUUCCUGAAACAGCAUAUAUCACUGUGAAAUAAAGAAUGUUCUACAGACACCCCUGUAGAAAGAAACAAAGAACAGGAUACUUUAGAAAGCUUUCUCUUAGCUGUAUUCAGCAAAUUUCAUACUAGUUGCUCAGGAUUGCUAGUUGGUAUGCUUUUGUAAAACGAGAUUGAAAUUUAAUAAAAGAUGCAACUAAAAUGUUUUCCUGCAUGAAGCUAAAAGCACUCAAGUUGAGAGGGGUAAGGGAAUCUCCCCAGGAUGACUGAAGAUGACUUCUUUUUACAAGCAAGUACUGUUAGCCUUUCUGCACCCCUUAGCUUGGCCCCUGCUCCAACUUCUGGGUCAGCAGCAAGGUGAACUCAACAGAAGUUGCUCUUGACUGAAGGUAGAAGCAGCCUGCCUUUUCUCUUUGCUAAAAGAAGGUCAAAGGCUUCGCGACCAGGACGCAAGGUCUGCGGUCCAGAAGCUUGCGGUGAGUGUGUGCCACUGAUGGAGCCCCAAGCCCACCCACCAGCCACUCCUGAUGGGGUUGCUCACACUGCAGCUGCCCUGUCACCACCCUGCACGUUCCUUGGAAGAUUUAAAUAUUUGGUUGCAAAUGAAUGUUUUAAAAAUGUAUUUAAUGCAAUUUUUCCUGCUCUCAACAUGACCACCCAAGAUUCAAACACAGAGACUUCCAAGUUAUUAUUUUUUCAGAACAUCACUGAUUUUAAAAUCUAUCACAACAGGACUUGGUUUUGUGCAGAUACCAGAGUGCUAAUGUGAGAAACCCAGUUAAAAGAAAACUUAGUUUAUUGGGAAGAAAGCCUUAGGCCCACUCGUUUCUAGAACUGUGAAAAUAUCCUUGGUUGGCAUUUUUAACACAAAACACUAUAGUGUUGGUAUUAAAUAGUACCAGGUAAAUAUAAAGAAACCAAUAAUGAAUUGCUGAGACAAUCUUGAACCCAAAUAGCAUUAGAAAGCUGAAGGCCCAAUGAAAUAACACUUUCACACUUAAAACUCUGUGGAUAAAUUUUGCCUGUGGGUAUAAACAGAUGGUCAAAUUAAAAAUGCUUUACUAUAAUUAACUUUUCUGAUUUGAAUGAAGGGAAAUGUAUUUAUUGAAACAAAGCUGUUUGCUGCUUUAUGCAGGUGCAGUGUUCAGUCAGCAAGGAAGUGGGAAGAGUGGACAUGGUCUUGUGUCUACACCCAAGUUCUUAACUAAGCCUCUCGCUCUAAUACUGCAUUCUGUUUCUCCUUUUGUGCCCUGAUUGUAAUCCAAAAUUUAUGAACUAGAAAAGAAUGUCCAAUUUAAUAAGUUGCAUUUUUUUUUCUUUAAGCACUUUAUUCAGAACAAUACAUGUUCUUCUGGUAGUGUUUGGAUAAUAUGAUUUUAACACAUGCUAAUAAAAGCCAAGAAAAAUCA
rnacentral:sRNA from 1 species